rnacentral:rRNA from 1 species
GAUGAACGCUGGCGGCGUGCCUAAUACAUGCAAGUCGAGCGAACGGACGAGAAGCUUGCUUUUCUGAUGUUAGCGGCGGACGGGUGAGUAACACGUGGAUAACCUACCUAUAAGACUGGGAUAACUUCGGGAAACCGGCGCUAAUACCGGAUAAUAUUUUGAACCGCAUGGUUCAAAAGUGAAAGACGGUCCUGCUGUCACUUAUAGAUGGAUCCGCGCUGCAUUAGCUAGUUGGUAAGGUAACGGCUUACCAAGGCAACGAUGCAUAGCCGACCUGAGAGGGUGAUCGGCCACACUGGAACUGAGACACGGUCCAGACUCCUACGGGAGGCAGCAGUAGGGAAUCUUCCGCAAUGGGCGAAAGCCUGACGGAGCAACGCCGCGUGAGUGAUGAAGGUCUUCGGAUCGUAAAACUCUGUUAUUAGGGAAGAACAUAUGUGUAAGUAACUGUGCACAUCUUGACGGUACCUAAUCAGAAAGCCACGGCUAACUACGUG